rnacentral:lncRNA from 1 species
UUUCAAACUAUGUCCAACAUAUCAGAGAGACCUCUCUCCUUUUUAGUGAGGAGAGAAAGUUUUGCAUGCAGAGCCUCGAGAUAAAUAAGAUUCCUACAUACCAGAUAACAACAUUGACUAUGAGAGAGGUAGCAAAUCGAACAACAUUAAUAAGACUGAGAUGGGGAUUAACUUUGAUGAUCCAUUUGCUUCUUCUAGAACCUUUGGUUCUCAUGAGUACUCCAUGAGAGACUAUACUCUAUUGUUGAGUCUUGAUAACAACUGGAGAGCG